rnacentral:sRNA from 1 species
AGUAAAAGCCCAUCCAGGGGAUAUGAGAUCAGUGAGGGACACGAAAGCAAGGUGGGCGGAAACAGCAAAACCCUUCCCAUUGAUGACAGCAGUUUGUGUGUCCGGCUGGCUGGUUUGCAGGCUCAACUUCACACUGAGACACUUGGACGUCACAUGUGAAGCCUACGAUCACUUCCGCUCCUGCCUGCACGCACUGGAGCAUCUCGCAGAUGGCAAGCUGCGCUUCGUGGUGGAGCCCGUGGAGGCCUCCUUCCCACAGCUCCUGGUUUACGAGCGCAUCCAGCAGCUGGAGCUCUGGAAGAUCAUCGCAGAACCAGUAACAUGACCCAUCGCCUCCACAAGGCGCGGCGUCUCGACUGUUCUUAGAGUAUAUUUCUAGUAAAAUCAGAAGCUCACCAAAGCAA